GAUGAAGAACGUAGCAAAAUGCGAUACUUGGUGUGAAUUGCAGAAUCCCGUGAACCAUCGAGUUUUUGAACGCAAGUUGCGCCCGAAGCCUUUUGGCCGAGGGCACGUCUGCCCGGGCGUCACGCAUCGCGUCGCCCCCCCACAAUUCUCCGUAAAGGGAACAUGUGUUUUGGGGGCGGAUAUUGGUCUCCCGUGCUCAUGGCGUGGUUGGCCGAAAUAGGAGUCCUUUCGAUGGACGCACGAACUAGUGGUGGUCGUAAAAACCCUCGUCUUUUGUUUCGUGCUGUUGCUCGCAAGGUAAACUCUUUAAAAACCCCAAUGCGUCGUCUCUUGACGACGCUUCGACCGCGACCCCAGGUCAGGCGGGACUACCCGCUGAGUUUAAGCAUAUCAAUAAGCGGAGGA
rnacentral:misc_RNA from 1 species